rnacentral:lncRNA from 9 species
CUACACUGUAAUUGAAUAUUUUGUGUUUUUACCAGAGAUUGUUAUAACAGCCAAAUUAAACUCAUUGCUGUAUUUGCUGUUAAAGGGUAUUAAUAUUCAAUAUAUUAUUCAAUGUACCCUCUAUGCGUUCCUUGUGGAAUUCCAUGUUAGCAAAAAUUUUACUUUUGAACUAAUUUGCUUCUUCCUUUCUGAACCCAAGAUUUAUAUACUGGACUAUGUUUCACCUUACUAUUGUGGGCGCUCCAAAGCUAAAAACUCGAUUUUACUAUUUAAUUUGAACAAUUAAAGCAACAUGUUUAUCUAUAUGGUUAUAAUAUUUGAGUUUGUCUUUUUCCCAGAUUCGGACUUUUCUCCUGGUAAUGAUCACUAUCACAGUUGGCCAGCCUCUCUGCCAUGGGCUUUACAUGAAUUCUCCCAUCCAAUCUCUACGCCAGUCCGAGUCUUACGAAUGAGAACACUAGGGCUUAGAAUAAUGUCAAACAGAGAAGUAGUAUUAGAGCCUGGAAGGAACCCAGGGUGGAGCAGCAGUGAGUGA